rnacentral:rRNA from 1 species
GACGAACGCUGGCGGCGUGCUUAACACAUGCAAGUCGAGCGGAAAGGCCCUUCGGGGUACUCGAGCGGCGAACGGGUGAGUAACACGUGAGUAAUCUGCCCUUCACUCUGGGAUAGCCACCGGAAACGGUGAUUAAUACCGGAUACGACCAAUCCCUGCAUGGGGUGUUGAUGGAAACUUUUUUUGGGUGGGGGAUGUGCUCGCGGCCUAUCAGCUUGUUGGUGGGGUAAUGGCCUACCAAGGCUUCGACGGGUAGCCGGCCUGAGAGGGUGACCGGCCACACUGGGACUGAGACACGGCCCAGACUCCUACGGGAGGCAGCAGUGGGGAAUAUUGGACAAUGGGCGGAAGCCUGAUCCAGCAACGCCGCGUGAGGGAUGACGGCCUUCGGGUUGUAAACCUCUUUCAGCACCGACGAAGCGCAAGUGACGGUAGGUGCAGAAGAAGGACCGGCCAACUACGUGCCAGCCGCCGCUGUAAGAC